AACCACUUGGAAGGGCACCGCACCCUUUCUCCAUAUCCUAUCCCUUCCAGCUGGCUGUUUGCUGAGUUAUAUGGUAUGCUUGAAAACGGUCAGCAACCAAACAUCAAAAAUGGACUCGGGCUCAAAAUUUCAUAAUCUGAAAUUUCCCUUGCAGGCUUAUGGCUUAGCUGAAAUACUACUGAGACCAACAGCUACCAAAAACUUGGAGAGAAUUCAAGUACUGGCAUUAUUUUCAAGUUUGGUGUUCAUUCCUGCCAAUAUUAGGAGCAGCAGCCUAUCGAGUAAUGGUCGCUAAAGACAAAUCAGAGCAAAUAUGAAGAAAGUACAUCAGUGGUAAAGCCAGCAGAGACAUGUUCUGUGUGGCUAGAAAUUAUGCAUGUUACAAUGAAAUCUUGGCUCAAAGCAGCAAAGACAUAUAUUCACGCACAUUUCUACUGUGGUGUGUAUAACAAUGUGGUCUUUUUUUGUUUGUUUUGAAAAUUGCUAGUAAAAUAUUAUUUUGUGAUCAAAGCAAAAGAAUUUGGAAAAUUGUGGCUUUUGGAAUAUUAUUCAAGACACUGUUUUAUGCAUAAAGAAAAUGAUGCUAAGGAAAUGUGAUUGCUCUGAGGUCAUACAAUUUGUGAUACAGCUUGAACCGCAUUCAAGACCUUUGCCAAGACCCAAUCUUUUACUUCUGAACAACAAGAGUUCACCGUCUGUUCCCAGGGUAUUCUAAUUUACAGGUGUUAACUGAUUUCAUCCUUCAACAAUAUAAAUCAGUUAUUAAUUGGUUCCAUUUAGCCCAAGAGGAAAUGGUGGGAUAGAAAUGUUGAAUGAUUUCU
rnacentral:lncRNA from 1 species